UACGUAGGGUGCGAGCGUUAAUCGGAAUUACUGGGCGUAAAGCGUGCGCAGGCGGUUGUGCAAGACAGAUGUGAAAUCCCCGGGCUUAACCUGGGAACUGCAUUUGUGACUGCACAGCUAGAGUGUGUCAGAGGGGGGGUAGAAUUCCACGUGUAGCAGUGAAAUGCGUAGAUAUGUGGAGGAAUACCGAUGGCGAAGGCAGCCCCCCUGGGGAUAACACUGACGCUCAUGCACGAAAGCGUGGGGAGCAAACAGG
rnacentral:rRNA from 1 species